CUACGGGUCGCUCCAGUGGGGAAUAUUGGACAAUGGGCGCAAGCCUGAUCCAGCAAUGCCGCGUGAGUGAAGACGGCCUUAGGGUUGUAAAACUCUUUCGCUAGGGAAGAUAAUGACUGUACCUAGUAAAGAAGUCCCGGCUAACUCCGUGCCAGCAGCCGCGGUAAUACGGAGGGGACUAGCGUUGUUCGGAAUUACUGGGCGUAAAGAGUUCGUAGGCGGACUGACAAGUUAGAGGUGAAAUCCCAGGGCUCAACCCUGGAACUGCCUUUAAAACUGUCAGUGUAGAGACCGGAAGAGGUUAGGGGAAUACCUAGUGUAGAGGUGAAAUUCGUAGAUAUUAGGUGGAACACCAGUGGCGAAGGCGCCUAACUGGUCCGGUACUGACGCUGAGGAACGAAAGCGUGGGGAGCAAACAAGAUUAGAUACCCCAGUAGUC
rnacentral:rRNA from 1 species